GGCCGACGGGGGCCAAAAGCACUGUAAUAGCUCAAUGCGUCUCAUUUAGAGAAAACAAUUUCAAGUACAGAAACGAUGCAAAUUCACAGGGUCAAACACAAGUUUAAACGAGGUACAAACAAAAUACGUGGUGCAGAUGAAAAAAACGCGCUGCAAGAAACAAAGACAAAUGCAUCAUCAUCAAAUGCGCUGCAAAUAGAGAAACGAUGCAAAGCGCGAAACGAUGAAAACCAAGAAAACACCUGCAAAAGAAAAACGCUGCAUAAAGAGUCGCCACAACGGAAGUGCUCCAAACCUGCAGGGGGCGCUCAGUGUAACAGCUCAAUGGAGAGACACACCGGCUGGACAGAGAGAAAGGAUCUGCCUUUGAGAGACAGAAAACAGCUGACUGACGAUAAACUACAGCGGGGACUUAUGAUUGUUACGACUCCUGUAUGAAGACACAACUUACUGCUGGGGCCACAGAACUGUUGGCUGAUGAGACACUCAUGAUUCAUGAAAUGGGUCAAAUGCAGAUGACAAAGUAAAGCCCACACUGCACUGGAGGUGCUGAACCAGACUCCUGCCACAGAUUAGGACCUGACUUUGAACCUAUCAGACAUAAGGCCCAUUCUGCUCUUCCUCCUCCAGAAGACGAGAGAUACAUUAGACUGAGUGGCCCAAGUACAAUGGUUCAUGCCUUCACUGUCCAUGUCCACACUCACUGAGGAGGAGGUCGUCCAGACUGCAGCAGAUCUGUAGGGCCUCUGGUUGCAUCAGGCCUUCCUCCUGCUGUCUCUAAUCACGGCCUUUGGGGUCCGCGGACACUGCUACUGAGCGCGCCCCCUGCAGGUUUGGAGCACUUCCGUUGUGGCGACUCUUUAUGCAGCGUUUUUCUUUUGCAGGUGUUUUCUUGGUUUUCAUCGUUUUGCAUCGUUUCUCUAUUUGCAGCGCAUUUGAUGACGAUGCAUUUGUCUUUGUUUCUUGCAGCGCGUUUUUUUCAUCUGUACCACGUAUUUUGUUUGUACCUCGUUUAAACUUGUGUUUGACCCUGUGAAUUUGCAUCGUUUCUGUACUUGAAAUUGUUUUCUCUAAAUGAGACGCAUUGAGCUGUUGCAGUGC